UACGUAGGAGGCAAGCGUUGUCCGGAAUUACUGGGCGUAAAGCGCGUGUAGGUGGUGGGACAAGUCUGCUGUGAAAGCGCCUGGCUUAACCGGGCGAGGUCGGCGGAAACUGUCCGACUCGAGGACGGUAGAGGGGGGUGGAAUUCCCCGGUGUAGUGGUGAAAUGCGUAGAGAUCGGGAGGAACACCAGUGGCGAAGGCGGGCUCACUGGACCGGAACUGACGCUGAGGCGCGAAAGCGUGGGGAGCAAACGGGG
rnacentral:rRNA from 1 species